rnacentral:rRNA from 1 species
GGGUGCGGAACACGUACGCAACUUACCCUUAAGUGGGGGAUAGCCCGGGGAAACCCGGAUUAAUACCUCGUAAGAUUAUAGAGUGGCAUCACUUUACAAUUAUAGCUCCGGCGCUUAAGGAUGGGCGUGCGUCCCAUUAGGUAGUUGGUUGAGGUAACGGCUCACCAAGCCUGCGAUGGGUAACUGGUGUGAGAGCACGACCAGUCACACGGGCACUGAGACACGGGCCCGACUCCUACGGGAGGCAGCAGUAAGGAAUAUUGGACAAUGGGGGCAACCCUGAUCCAGCCAUGCCGCGUGUGUGAAGAAGGCCUUCGGGUUGUAAAGCACUUUAAGCAGGGAGGAAGGCUCGUACGUUAAUAGCGUGCGGGAGUGACGUUACCUGCAGAAUAAGCACCGGCAAACUCCGUGCCAGCAGCCGCGGUAAUGCGGAGGGUGCAAGCGUUAAUCGGAUUUACUGGGCGUAAAGCGCACGCAGGUGGUUUGUUAAGUCGGAUGUGAAAUCCCCGGGCUCAACCUGGGAGCGGCAUUCGAUACUGGCAAACUGGAGUACGAGAGAGGGGGGUGGAAUUCCAGGUGUAGCGGUGAAAUGCGUAGAUAUCUGGAGGAACACCGGUGGCGAAGGCGGCCCCCUGGCUCGAUACUGACACUGAGGUGCGAAAGCGUGGGGAGCAAACAGGAUUAGAUACCCUGGUAGUCCACGCCGUAAACGAUGUCGACUAGCCGUUGGGAAACUUGCUUUCUCAGUGGCGCAGCUAACGCGCUAAGUCGACCGCCUGGGGAGUACGGCCGCAAGGUUAAAACUCAAAUGAAUUGACGGGGACCCGCACAAGCGGUGGAGUAUGUGGUUUAAUUCGACGCAACGCGAAGAA